rnacentral:rRNA from 1 species
AACGAACGCUGGCGGCAGGCUUAACACAUGCAAGUCGAACGCCCCGCAAGGGGAGUGGCAGACGGGUGAGUAACGCGUGGGAAUCUACCCAGAUCUUCGGAACAACUGAGGGAAACUUCAGCUAAUACCGGAUACGCCCUACGGGGGAAAGAUUUAUCGGUUCUGGAUGAGCCCGCGUUGGAUUAGCUAGUUGGUGGGGUAAUGGCCUACCAAGGCGACGAUCCAUAGCUGGUCUGAGAGGAUGAUCAGCCACACUGGGACUGAGACACGGCCCAGACUCCUACGGGAGGCAGCAGUGGGGAAUAUUGGACAAUGGGCGAAAGCCUGAUCCAGCCAUGCCGCGUGAGUGAUGAAGGCCUUAGGGUUGUAAAGCUCUUUUAGUGGGGAAGAUAAUGACGGUACCCACAGAAAAAGCCCCGGCUAACUUCGUGCCAGCCGCCGCCGUAAGAC